GAGCGAAUGGAUUAAGAGCUUGCUCUUAUGAAGUUAGCGGCGGACGGGUGAGUAACACGUGGGUAACCUGCCCAUAAGACUGGGAUAACUCCGGGAAACCGGGGCUAAUACCGGAUAACAUUUUGAACUGCAUGGUUCGAAAUUGAAAGGCGGCUUCGGCUGUCACUUAUGGAUGGACCCGCGUCGCAUUAGCUAGUUGGUGAGGUAACGGCUCACCAAGGCAACGAUGCGUAGCCGACCUGAGAGGGUGAUCGGCCACACUGGGACUGAGACACGGCCCAGACUCCUACGGGAGGCAGCAGUAGGGAAUCUUCCGCAAUGGACGAAAGUCUGACGGAGCAACGCCGCGUGAGUGAUGAAGGCUUUCGGGUCGUAAAACUCUGUUGUUAGGGAAGAACAAGUGCUAGUUGAAUAAGCUGGCACCUUGACGGUACCUAACCAGAAAGCCACGGCUAACUACGUGCCAGCAGCCGCGGUAAUACGUAGGUGGCAAGCGUUAUCCGGAAUUAUUGGGCGUAAAGCGCGCGCAGGUGGUUUCUUAAGUCUGAUGUGAAAGCCCACGGCUCAACCGUGGAGGGUCAUUGGAAACUGGGAGACUUGAGUGCAGAAGAGGAAAGUGGAAUUCCAUGUGUAGCGGUGAAAUGCGUAGAGAUAUGGAGGAACACCAGUGGCGAAGGCGACUUUCUGGUCUGUAACUGACACUGAGGCGCGAAAGCGUGGGGAGCAAACA
rnacentral:rRNA from 1 species